GCCCCUGUAGCUCAGCUGGAUAGAGCGCCUGGCUUCGGACCAGGAGGUCGUGGGUUCGAAUCCUGCCGGGGGCA
rnacentral:tRNA from 1 species